GUGCUCACUUCAGCAGCACAUAUACUAAAAUUGGAAGGAUACAGAGAAGAUUAGCAUGGCCCCUGCACGAGGAUGACAUGCAAAUUCGUGAAGCAUUCCACAUUUUU
ensembl:snRNA U6 U6 spliceosomal RNA